UACAGGGGGUGCAAACGUUGCUCGGAAUCAUUGGGCGUAAAGCGCACGUAGGCGGUCUGUUAUGUCGGAUGUGAAAGCCCUUGGCUCAACUGAGGAAGUGCAUCCGAAACUGGCAGGCUAGAGUACUAAAGAGGAUCGCGGAAUUCCCGGUGUAGAGGUGAAAUUCGUAGAUAUCAGGAGGAACACCGGUGGCGAAGGCGGGUCUCUGGGCCGAUACUGACGCUGAGGUGCGAAAGCGUGGGGAGCAAACAGG
rnacentral:rRNA from 1 species